rnacentral:rRNA from 1 species
AUUGAACGCUGGCGGCAAGCCUAACACAUGCAAGUCGAACGAGUGGCGGACGGGUGAGUAAUGUCUGGGAAACUGCCUGAUGGAGGGGGAUAACUACUGGAAACGGUAGCUAAUACCGCAUACCAUCGGAUGUGCCCAGAUGGGAUUAUCUGGUGGGUGGGGUAAAGGCUCACCUAGGCGACGAUCCCUAGCUGGUCUGAGAGGAUGACCAGCCACACUGGAACUGAGCAACGGUCCAGACUCCUACGGGAGGCAGCAGUGGGGAAUAUUGGACAAUGGGCGAAAGCCUGAUCCAGCCAUGCCGCGGGUGUGAAGAAGGUCUUCGGAUUGUAAAGCACUUUAAGUUGGGAGGCGUUACCAACAGAAUAAGCACCGGCUAACUUCGUGCCAGCAGCCGCGGUAAUUC